GGCAUGACGUCAACAUAACCACCAUGAUUUCGAACCACCCCAGCAUGUACUGCUGCUCUGCAGAUACUGGACAGCUGAGGCAACAAGGGAAAACCCACCGUUAUUAGGAAAUUCCUGCUGAACUUGUCCAGUCUACUCUUCUGUUGGACCAAAGUCACUGGCACCUGUCUCUAUACAGAUAGUCAGCAGUUACAGGUUGAUGUUCUGUGCAUAAAGGAAUGUUGCAAAAGUCACAGAGUUAAAGCCAAUUCUGAGCAAGUCUGAAAGCAGAUCUCAAGGGUGGCCACAAUGGUAAACUCCCAUCACCGUUUAAUCUAACAAACACUUGCCUUUCCAAACAUCAGGCUUUUUCUAUAGUGGAAGUAAGUAAUCAGAUACAAAUUUGCUCUUUUUAUCUCUUUUUUAAAUGUUUAUUUUUGAGAGAGAGACAGAGAGAGAGAGAGAGAGAAGAGAGAGAGAGAGAGAGAGAGAGAGAGAGAGCAUGAGCAGGAAGGGGUAGAGAAAGAGGGAGACACAGAAUCCAAAGCAGGCUCCAGGCUCUGAGCUGUCAGCACAGAGCCCAACAUGGGCUCAAACUCAUGAACUGUGAGACCAUGACCUGAGCCAAAGUUGGAAGCUUGACCAACAGACCUACCCAGGCAUCCCUGCUCCUUUUAUCACUUAAAUUCUAGCUCUUGCUAGUCACUCUGACCAAAUGUUAACAGGUUACAUUAUCUGUACUUGGUUUAUGUUCAUUUUUGUCUUAUUAACAGAUAAUAGUUCUGUAUACCUUUACAGUUCCCUUUCCAAAAUACAGGUGUGUAUUAAGUGGGGAGUUUUCUUCUAUUAAAUAUUAUAGCCUACACAGAGAAAAUUUAACCAUGAAGCAAAAUAUAAAGAACAAUCACAGCUUCCAACCUAUAUCUGCAAUGUCUAUCACCUUGGUUUGAAUGGUCUGACAUGAGGCACUAUGUUUACAUUGUACCAGUUAUACCUUCUUAAUUGAACUGGAGUUCUACAGAAGAGAAAAUUAUUGUUUCAGGUCCAUGUUUUUAAAACCAUUACCUACGGACUUCUAAAAGUUGACUUUUUUUUUUUUUUUAUUUUGCCCCAUUCAAGACUUCUCCAGAUUUUAACAUUUGCUUUAAUCCUAAUGUUCUACCAAAAUUUGUCAAUAGCUGAAUACAGCCUGAGGAAAUCCCACAAAAUGAAACACUUGAACUGUUUCUGUAUGAAACAAUCCCCCCUCAUAUCCCAGGGGUCUUUUCUGAUCGUACUAGUGUGUUCUAUUUUUCUCUCUAUGCACAUGUGAGUGACUUAAUGUGCUUUUUUAAGUUCACAUAAGCAUGUGCAUCUUACAUGACCUUGCUUUAUUACUGUGCUCUGAACUUUGUGGCAUCAGUCAGAACUUAUUAGAUCAGAGAGCCUGAAUGCCAAGCUGUUUAAUCCUUUUCAUGCUUUUGCUAUACCAAAAAAUACCAUAUAUCUAAAACCUCGUAUCGUUACUCCAAAGAGGCAUUUUAUUCACAGUUUAAAGUUCCUCACUGAUUUAAUAUUUGUAUCCAAUAUGGUUCAUAACAGAUGAAAUUAAAAAUAGUUCUGUACGCGUUUCAGUAUUUAUCUUGCUCUGUUAAAAGAGUAUUAUCAGCAUUUUCCCCAAGGCAUAAAAGUGCUUACAUAUAACAUUCACUAAAUCCAAGCACUUAAUAUGUUUUGAAACUAUUGUUUUGCCCAUAACUACGCAGUCAGCAGGCAUUCCUAUUUGAGUUCAAAGGUCAGAAGAGAUUUUCUUUUUAUACCCGUACUUUGUAAGAAUUAACAUAUCACGAAAAAAAGAAUUUAUCUGUGAAAACAGUGGAACACUUUUAAUGAAUGCAGAAAUUAACUUUACUUGUAACAAAUGAGAAAAAUUCAAAGCAAUAAAAUGUACAAGUAGUAAUGGAAAGAAACAGAGAGAGAGAAAGGUGGAGGGGUUGAGGGAGAGAGAAGAUAUUUUUCCAUAUCUUGUAUUUAAAGAAAUAAUAUAUUUUGUGUGUUGGGGGGGAGGGGGAGUUUGGUAGUUAAUGCUUGAAUCUCUGAAUCUGCACUGACCACAUAAUAGUAGUCCUUGCAUUUCCAACUAACUCUUAAAAUGAUUUAUACAAUCAUUUCCUAUACAUAAUUGCCUAUGCAGUCCGAUAAGGUAGGAAGAUAAAAUGAUCUCAAGACACAAAGUCUAACAAAACCUAAACUCUAGAAAAAUAGACGGCCUAUAGGUAUAAGAGGGUAUAGGAUAUUAUGAAAGAUUUUCACCGGGCAUGAUUAAAAUUUAAAGUUUGGUGCUUAAAUGGACAAUCUAAAAAGAAUAACUUCUUCUGAAAUCUUUGAAGAUUCUAGAUAGGCUUAUUCAUAUACAUUUAUGGAUUUAUUUCUUCAACAAAUAUUUAUGUGCAAGGUAUUUGCUACAUUUCUGAUAUCACUGUGUGCUCUAAGUUUUGUUAAGGCAGGAUAUAAUUCUGUCUUGUUCACAGGUUGGCAUACAUCAAACUGUUAAUAAAAAAUGACGCUCCAAUUGCCUGGCUGUUGCCCUCAUGGAACUUCAAAAUAAUAAAAGAGAUAGAGAAAUAGUCAUAACACUAACAGAAUCAGGUAAGUGCUAAAAGUAAAAAAAAAAAAUAAAGUUCUAGGGGUUGAAAGAAGGGCUAUGUAAUACAUGUAGUAGGAGAUCCAGCAAAAGACUCCACAGAGAAAGUGGCAAUAAAUUAGGACAUGAAGAAUGACCAUGAUUUUAACAGACAGGAAGGUAAGUAAAGCAUGAGGACUAAUAAAUUAUUAUACCAGCAGGACAUUUAAGCUGCAAAUAAGUACAGGGCAAAGCUGAACCCUGGGAGGGACUCAGAUGUGGAGAACAAUUGCAAAGGUAAAUCUGAAUGAAAACAAACCCUGGACUUUAAUGAACUCACCAACAGAAAUAAGGUGGUAAAUACUAUUUCAGGUCUCUUUUUACAAACCUAUUUCCAUGGUAUUCUACUGAAUAUGUGCUUCAAGAGUAUAUUUCCUGAAUUUGUUUUUGCAACUCUCUGGCUUAGAAAUUUGUAACGGUUUCUAAAUGUCUGCCACAUAAAAUCUAAACUCAUCAACAUGCAUUCAGACUCUCCAUUUACAUGUUUCAAGAGCUGGAUACCCCACCCCUCACACAAAAUUGGCUGCAACCCCUUUUAGAUUCAAUGCUCACCUGCUCAAAGAUAAGCAAACCUAUGUGUUAUGCAUACAUCUCGCUUGCUGUCAUCUCCCCGUUCUUGUA
rnacentral:lncRNA from 1 species